CAGUAGCCACGGGAAUACGAAGGGGGCUAGCGUUGUUCGGAUUUACUGGGCGUAAAGCGCACGUAGGCGGACUUUUAAGUCAGGGGUGAAAUCCCGGGGCUCAACCCCGGAACUGCCUUUGAUACUGGAAGUCUUGAGUAUGGUAGAGGUGAGUGGAAUUCCGAGUGUAGAGGUGAAAUUCGUAGAUAUUCGGAGGAACACCAGUGGCGAAGGCGGCUCACUGGACCAUUACUGACGCUGAGGUGCGAAAGCGUGGGGAGCAAACAGGAUUAGAUACCCCUGUAGUCCCUGUCUCUUAUAC
rnacentral:rRNA from 1 species